GACAGAGGUGCCGAGCGUUAGGCGGAAUCACUGGGCUUAAAGCGUGUGUAGGCGGAUCGUUAAGUAGCUUGUGAAAUCCCAUGGCUCAACCAUGGAACUGCUUGGUAUACUGGCGGUCUUGAGCCAGCUAGGGGCUACCGGAACAAAUGGUGGAGCGGUGAAAUGCGUAGAUAUCAUUUGGAACGCCAAUGGUGAAAACAGGUAGCUGGGGCUGUGCUGACGCUGAGACACGAAAGCCAGGGGAGCGAACGGG
rnacentral:rRNA from 1 species